UGCAGAAGUGAUGAUGACCUCCAACCAUACCAGCGACUUCAGAGGACAAUGGAGACAGGAGCUCAUCGAUAGCCUUUGCUUCAGGAGCUAAGGCCCCAGAACUACUGCUCGCUGGAUGUUUUUUCGUUUUCUCGCAGCCUCUGUAAGCCCUAGAAGCUAAUGGGCGUGAAAAGCAUUGGAGAAAUCAUUGCAGCUUUUGUGAUACUGAAACCACCCUGCCUGGCACCAACAGUCAAAGUCACUUAGUUCAUAUUCCUUCCACAUUCUGAUGUUUGGUCUGAAGAACAACUAUCCAGGGGCCGUGGACAAUUCUGACUUGAUGGAGAAUGGACGUGAAAGCACAGAGGAACAUCUGGAGAAAUUUCUGAAAUGCCCGUUCCCUGCUGUCGUUACUGUGUGGUCGGGAAUCUUUCGGAGGGUAGGCCUCAAAAUCCCUGGCCUUGCCUGCUUUUGGCGACCGAGAAGGAGGUCGAAUCGUUUGGACAGAGAUGGCGCUCAGUACUCGGUGUUGGAGAGCUGAUCAGAGCUCGAAGGUGUCGGAUGACUCAGAGUUGGAUUGUGGUCAGCAUGACAGGGAGAGUUUUCCUUCCUCCUCCUGUCUGCGUGAGAUGUGGGACAUUAGAGAAACUUUGAACUUUACUGUGCUCAUGGACUUCUUCAUCAAGUUAUGGUAUUGUGCACUGUUGUAACUAUAUGUUAUAAUUAUGUGGUUUUGUCAG